CCGGCCGUAAUACACAUAUAAAAUUACAUUGAAAACGUUAUUUGGGACAGCCAGCACUGGCCGGUAAACGGAAUAGCGAGUGGCCGUACUUCAGGGUGGGUGGUGGGUUACAUGGAACUGUCUGGACCGGACCGGACCGAACACAGUAUAUAUACCAAUGAGUUUGUGAAGACAUAAAGUGCCCUUUGAUAAAAUUAUAAGGCACAGAUAGCAAAAUCCUCAAAAAGAAUCAAGUUUUGAGCAAUUAACUCCUUCUAACAGAAGAUGUGACUGACUGUACAAAUGUUGCCAUGUAUAUAUACACAUCACUAUGAUAAAAAUAAAAAUAAAAGGAGGAUGA